rnacentral:rRNA from 1 species
GACGUAGGGCGCGAGCGUUGUCCGGAUUUAUUGGGCGUAAAGAGCUCGUAGGCGGCUUGUUGCGUCGGCUGUGAAAACCCGUGGCUUAACUGCGGGCUUGCAGCUGAUACGGGCGGGCUGGAGUUCGGUAGGGGAGACUGGAAUUCCUGGUGUAGCGGUGAAAUGCGCAGAUAUCAGGAGGAACACCAAUGGCGAAGGCGGCUACCUGGACCAGCACUGACACUGGAGGCACGAAAGCGUGGGGAGCAAACAGG